rnacentral:rRNA from 1 species
ACUUUUUUCUUCAAUUGUGGAAGCCCCGGGAGGAGAAGUAGUAGGAUUGGUUCUCAUAAUUAUCACAUAAUUAAAAAAAAGGAAUUUGUCGAAAUUUUUCUUUUUUUAUUGUUGAAUAAUGCCAAAAAAUCAAAAAAAAUCCAAAAGUAAAAAGGAAAUGAAUUAGUUAAUUCAAUAAGAGAGAAAAGGGGACCAGGACUUGAUUUCGUUGCCCAAGCGAGGUAG